UACGUAGGGUGCGAGCGUUAAUCGGAAUUACUGGGCGUAAAGCGUGCGCAGGCGGUUUUGUAAGCCAGAUGUGAAAUCCCCGGGCUUAACCUGGGAAUGGCAUUUGGGACUGCAAGGCUCGAGUGCGGCAGAGGAGACUGGAAUUCCUGGUGUAGCAGUGAAAUGCGUAGAUAUCAGGAGGAACACCGAUGGCGAAGGCAGGUCUCUGGGCUGACACUGACGCUCAUGCACGAAAGGCGUGGGGAGCAAACAG
rnacentral:rRNA from 1 species